CAUCGGUGAAAUCUCUCCGUUCAGUCCAAACCGCCUUCAUCCCCAUUCAAUCUGUGGUGAUACCGUACUUCUACCAGGUGAUGGCAGUAUUUCUCUAUUUGACCCGAGAAACUAGUUAAAGCAGGAAUGAAGGACAUGCGCCUACAUUGAGGAGCUAAAAUGAUAAAGUCCAGAACACGACACGACAUUCAACAUGCGGAAGAUAAUUAGUCAUCAAAAAGACAAAAGGAAGACCAAACUCUGUUAAUUUGGCAAAACAACAAUUUCUGGAUGGAUCAACCUAGGCCGUUGUUCAUAGGGUGCAUCACCUCACCAGACGCUGGGAGAUACGGCUUUCAUGAAAACCAAUGGAAGCUCUUUCAAGAAACCAGCCCUAUUCAUUCGUCAACAGAUGGUUAAACAACCAUUCAGCAGUGCUGUAUCUCCAUUCAAGGGCCAUGCGACUGGGUGAUUGCUGUCAAAGAUUGGCCAGAGAUGUCUCCCGGUUGGCUCUUAUCUAAAAUUGGUCAUGAUUGGCUAUCGAUAUGCAAACUUUUGAGUGUUUAGCAUCUGUACCUUUGCUGUAGCUUCAUCCCCCACCUUGACAGUGUGAUUUUGUGGCUUAUAGUUAAUAAAUAUGUUUUAAUCCAGGGAUCCUAUUUCCACAGCCAUAGAUCUAAUGUGCGUGUGAUUAUAGAUGCCUUGAAGAUCUUUCUAGGGUUAGUGCCGAUGUUUUGGUCGAAGCGUUCGCUCCACAGUGGCGUUGCUGAGGACCCUUUGCUGAUGGCUCCUGACGUUCCCCUUUGAACUUAAACCAAGUGUUAACCACAUCCAUACAAAGCUGGUUUCUAAAGGAAAGUCCCCUUUUAAUGUGUGUCUCCCUU
ensembl:lncRNA